rnacentral:rRNA from 1 species
CCUACGGGCGGCAGCAGUGAGGAAUAUUGGUAAAUGGACGAGAGUCUGAACCAGCCAAGUAGCGUGAAGGAUGACUGCUCUAUGGGUUGUAAACUUCUUUUAUAUGGGAAUAAAACAGGGUAUGCAUAUCUUCCUGUAUGUAUCAUAUGAAUAAGGAUCGGCUAACUCCGUGCCAGCAGCCGCGGUAAUACGGAGGAUUCGAGCGUUAUCCGGAUUUAUUGGGUUUAAAGGGGGCGUAGGUGGAUUGUUAAGUCAGUUGUGAAAGUUUGCGGCUCAACCGUAAAAUUGCAGUUGAAACUGGCAGUCUUGAGUACAGUAGAGGUAGGCGGAAUGCAUGGUGUAGCGGUGAAAUGCUUAGAGAUCACGAAGAACUCCGAUUGCGAAGGCAGCUCACUGGACUACAACUGACACUGAUGCUCGAAAGUGUGGGUAUCAAACAGGAUUAGAUACCCGAGUAGUC